rnacentral:rRNA from 1 species
CCUACGGGUGGCAGCAGUGAGGAAUAUUGGUCAAUGGGCGCGAGCCUGAACCAGCCAAGUCGCGUGAGGGAAGACGGUCCUAUGGAUUGUAAACCUCUUUUGUCGGGGAGCAAAAGACGCCACGCGUGGCGUUCCGAGAGUACCCGAAGAAAAAGCAUCGGCUAACUCCGUGCCAGCAGCCGCGGUAAUACGGAGGAUGCGAGCGUUAUCCGGAUUUAUUGGGUUUAAAGGGUGCGCAGGCGGAAGAUUAAGUCAGCGGUAAAAUUGUGGGGCCCAACCUCUUCGAGCCGUUGAAACUGGUUGUCUUGAGUGAGCGAGAAGUAUGCGGAAUGCGUGGUGUAGCGGUGAAAUGCAUAGAUAUCACGCAGAACUCCGAUUGCGAAGGCAGCAUACCGGCGCUCAACUGACGCUCAUGCACGAAAGUGUGGGUAUCGAACAGGAUUAGAUACCCCGGUAGUC